rnacentral:rRNA from 1 species
UACGGAGGGAGCUAGCGUUGUUCGGAAUUACUGGGCGUAAAGCGCGCGUAGGUUGUUCAGCAAGUUGGAAGUGAAAUCCCGGGGCUUAACUCCGGAACUGCUUUCAAAACUGCUAAACUAGAGAAUGGUAGGGGAAAGUGGAAUUCCCGGUGUAGAGGUGAAAUUCGUAGAUAUCGGGAGGAACACCAGAGGCGAAGGCGACUUUCUGGGCCAUUUCUGACACUAAAGCGCGACAGCGUGGGGAGCAAACAGG